rnacentral:pre_miRNA from 1 species
GCGGGGUGACGGACCGGAGACGACCGAGGGCCCGGCCACCGGAUUCGGUGACCAGGCCCUCGGUCGUGACGGCUGUCGACUCGC